UGGGGAAUAUUGCACAAUGGGCGGAAGCCUGAUGCAGCGACGCCGCGUGGGGGAUGAAGGCCUUCGGGUUGUAAACUCCUUUCGACAGGGACGAAGCUUUUGUGACGGUACCUGUAUAAGAAGCACCGGCUAACUACGUGCCAGCAGCCGCGGUAAUACGUAGGGUGCGAGCGUUGUCCGGAAUUACUGGGCGAAAAGAGCUCGUAGGUGGUUUGUCGCGUCGUCUGUGAAAUUCCGGGGCUUAACUCCGGGCGUGCAGGCGAUACGGGCUGACUUGAGUGCUGUAGGGGAGACUGGAAUUCCUGGUGUAGCGGUGAAAUGCGCAGAUAUCAGGAGGAACACCGAUGGCGAAGGCAGGUCUCUGGGCAGUAACUGACGCUGAGGAGCGAAAGCAUGGGUAGCGAACAGG
rnacentral:rRNA from 1 species